GUAGUUUCGUUACGAAGACAGGUAAUGGUUUCGUUGUGAGUAUUUGUUUACAUCUAGCGUGGCAUGCAUAUGCGGUUUACAAAUUUUAAUAUAUUUUGCUUUUUUUCGGUGUGGAUCUUUGGAUAGUUAAAGAGAAAUGAAUCUUAUGUGCAGCUAUUGUGACUCUACAUUUGAGAACAUAAAAGGCACAGUGUGUCAUUGUGUUGAGGAUCACCCGGCAGAAAAGGUGUCCUACAUGUGGAAGUCGAUUGACGGGAGGAGUAAUCGCCAAAGGACAUACAAUGUAUUGGGGUCUAAUGUUACCGGCAAAGAAAUCAGUUUUGAUCUGGGAAAAUGAUAGUACCUACCAAAUCUUCAGCCAGCGAAAACUACACAAAAUCAACACACCAUCAAAAUCAGUUCAUCGUCAGUAAUAAUCACAAUUAGAAGUCGACCAAGAACAUGUCGAAAACUUAUCUUCAACUGAGGCACCCGAUUCAGUUGCUGAGUUAUCGGAACUGUUGGACACCACAGUGUUAUAUUCGGAUUCAGAGCCCGACAUUGAGGAGUAUGAACUAAUGGAAAAUGCAAAUGACAUCCCUGAUGACGUAAUGGCGGACACACAAACUGUACAAAUGGUAGUUCAGCAACUUAAAACGUUAUUGUCGUCUGUUACCGCUCAUUUAGCUGAUUGUGGUCGUUUACAUGAAUGGAUGAAUAUCUUUCAUUUGACUGACUCUGGAGAUUUUAGUGUAAAGCACAUUGCAGCCCAGUUGUUUCUAGAUGUCAUAGAGUUUUCAAGCCUAGAAGAUGUGCGGCUAAUGAGAUACACUCCUGAAGUGAGACAGUUUUGCACAGUCGGACAGGCGCUGUUUAAAUCUAAGUUUCUGCGAUUCAUGGGAGGAUACAAUGUGUUUUCAGGAGCAAUUGCGCAUGGAGACAGUGACAAUAAAUCAAUGACAAAGUCUGAUAUUAACAUGAUAAAUUUUGUUUGUCCAAACAAGGAUGUAUUAAAGGAAGAGAUGAUUUCGGAUAAAAAAUAGAGUGGCAUAUCAACAAGAUUUAAACACGUGAAAUGGAUGAAGUAACUACAUAUUUGUAUUCAAAUCAAUGCAAAAAGUUACCAAGACGAAUGCUUUUAAGUGAAACUUAAACAGACGAGAAUGAAUCAUCUUUCCCUAAUGUUAAACACAACAAAUUAAACAAAUUAUAUUAAAGGUCUGCACACAUGCAUAAUUAUUAUCUAAUGGCUUCAGAAGAAAACCUAGACAUAUUCUGUUAAUGUCUUCAAUAGAAAACCCAUACCUAAUGCAGUGACUUGGAGAGAAAACUCUUCUCAUUUCUUAUAAACACGACCGAAUAUUAAAGGCAAUUUUUGUAGGAAUAGAGGCAUAAAAUCAAAUGAAAAACAUGUACAGUCGAAAAGUAUGUUGAACUCGUUUUCAAACGCUGAAAGUAUAAGCACAAUAAUUACAUUUAAUAACGGAUGCUUGUGUUUAUCAUGAAUUUGCUGUAUAAAACCACACAUUCAAAAAGAAACUGUCUGCUUUUAUUCAACACACGAUCAAACAACUGCAACUUAGUCAUAUGUUUGCUUUGCUAACAAAUGGUAAAGAUUUA